GGAAUCAUCGGCCUUGUGUGAUAUAACAUAUACGUCUUUUGUUUACUUUGACUUUUGUCGAGUUAGUCUCCUUUCGUACUCCGAGGAGGGAGUAUCGCAGCUCUCUCUUUCCGAACGUGAAAUGUUAGAAAUUAAUACUUUCGAUAAUUUCACAAUUAUUUAAACAAUUGUUAAUGUGUGCGGAAUACAAAAAACAAAUAUUUAAACAAUAAUAAAUUUGUUUAACAUUACAAAGAUCGUAACGCGAGAGAAACUUAAUAUAAUUGUAAUUAAAAAUCUUAAUAUUUAAAAGUUGUAACCUCGGAAUCAUCGGCCUUGUAUAAUAUAAACAUAUACGACUUUUAUUUACUUUGUCUUUUGUCGAGUUAGUCUUCUUUGGUAUUCCGAGGAGGGAGUAUCGCAGCUCUCUCUUUCCGAACGUGAAAUGUUAGAAAUUAAUAUUUUCAAUAAUUUCACAAUUAUUUAAACAAUUGUUAAUGUGUGCGGAAUACAAAAAACAAAUAUUUAAACAAUAAUAAAUUUGUUAAACAUUACAAAGAUCGUAACGCGAGAGAAACUUAAUAUAAUUGUAAUUAAAAAUCUUAAUAUUUAAAAUUUCUAACCUCGGAAUCAUCGGCCUUGUGUGAUAUAACAUAUACGUCUUUUGUUUACUUUGACUUUUGUCGAGUUAGUCUUCUUUGGUAUUCCGAGGAGGGAGUAUCGCAGCUCUCUCUUUCCGAACGUGAAAUGUUAGAAAUUAAUACUUUCGAUAAUUUCACAAUUAUUUAAACAAUUGUUAAUGUGUGCGGAAUACAAAAAACAAAUAUUUAAACAAUAAUGAAUUUGUUUAACAUUACAAAGAUCGUAACGCCAGAGAAACUUAAAAUAAUUGUAAUUAAAAAUCUUAAUAUUUAAAAUUUCUAACCUCGGAAUCAUCGGCCUUGUGUGAUAUAACAUAUACGUCUUUUGUUUACUUUGACUUUUGUCGAGUUAGUCUCCUUUCGUACUCCGAGGAGGGAGGAUCGCAGCUCUCUCUUUCCGAACGCGAAAUCUUAGAAAUUAAUACUUUCGAUAAUUUCACAAUUAUUUAAACAAUUGUUAAUGUACGCUAAAUAAAAAAACUAAUAUUUAAACAAUAAUAAAUUUGUUUAACAUUACAAAGAUCGUAGCGCGAGAGAAACUUAAAAUAAUUGUAAUUAAAAAUCUUAAUAUUUAAAAGUUGUAACCUCGGAAUCAUCGGCCUUGUAUAAUAUAAACAUAUACGACUUUUAUUUACUUUGUCUUUUGUCGAGUUAGUCUUCUUUGGUAUUCCGAGGAGGGAGGAUCGCAGCUCUCUCUUUCCGAACGUGAAAUGUUAGAAAUUAAUAUUUUCAAUAAUUUCACAAUUAUUUAAACAAUUGUUAAUGUGUGCGGAAUACAAAAAACAAAUAUUUAAACAAUAAUAAAUUUGUUUAACAUUACAAAGAUCGUAACGCGAGAGAAACUUAAUAUAAUUGUAAUUAAAAAUCUUAAUAUUUAAAAGUUGUAACCUCGGAAUCAUCGGCCUUGUAUAAUAUAAACAUAUACGACUUUUAUUUACUUUGUCUUUUGUCGAGUUAGUCUUCUUUGGUAUUCCGAGGAGGGAGUAUUGCAGCUCUCUCUUUCCGAACGUGAAAUGUUAGAAAUUAAUAUUUUCAAUAAUUUCACAAUUAUUUAAACAAUUGUUAAUGUGUGCGGAAUACAAAAAACAAAUAUUUAAACAAUAAUAAAUUUGUUAAACAUUACAAAGAUCGUAGCGCGAGAGAAACUUAAAAUAAUUGUAAUUAAAAGUUUUAAUAUUUAAAAGUUCUAACCUCGGAAUCAUCGGCCUUGUGUGAUAUAAACAUAUACGACUUUUAUUUACUUUGUCUUUUGUCGAGUUAGUUUCCUUUUGUACGCCGACGAGAGCACAUCGCAGAUUUCGCAGUUCGCAUUCUCCGCAAGUAAUAACGAAAGUCAAUAAUUAAAUGGUGAAGUGGGGAUACUCUCCCACCCGUAGCGACAAUAUAAUCGGACCGGUUCACAGGUUAUGGUUCAGUAUUGCUUUGAAUUUCGACGAGUACACAUCGGAGUUCUCGUAGUACGUGUCCUUUGCAAGUAAUAGAGAAGAGUUAAUAAUUAAAUGGUGAAGUGGGGAUACUCUCCCACCCGUAGCGACAAUAUAAUCGGACCGGUUCACAGGUUAUGGUUCAGUAUUGCUUUGAAUUUCGACGAGUACACAUCGGAGUUCUCGUAGAUGAAAUGGUGUGGUGGGGAUACUUUCCCACCCGUGACGACAACAAACUCGGACCUUCAGUCGACUUUGCCAGUUACUAGUUCAGUUUCGCUGUGUCUUCCGACGAGUGAACUUAGAAAUUUUCUCACUUUCGGAGGAGGACUUUGAUAAUCUAUCUGCACGAGUGGACUUAGAAAUUUUCGGAGGAUGUCAAUGGAGCGAGUAUUAACGAAGACUUAAAAACCACGUUGUGCAGAUGUAAUCGAGUGUUUGUAUCGCUAAAAUAAAUUUAUCGCGAAGUAGAAGCAGUGUUUGUUCGUUCGCGUUUCGCGAUUUAAACCAUAAGUGUUUUUGAAUAGACUGCGUGCAAUGCAGUCCUUAGAGUCAGUGUUUGUUCGUAAAGUUAUUUGCUCUUUUAACAGUCGCACAGACUGUACUUAUAAAAGAUAGUAGAGUUUCGCGAAAUAAAUUCAGUGAUCGUUCGUUAAUAAAUAACUACCGCGAAUUAGAGUCAGUGCAUCACUGAAGAGGAUCUCGACCAACUUCGAUGUCGACCUACCUCAUUUUCAACCAACUACAAAUCAUCCACCCUCAAUUUCGACCUAAAUCGCGGUCCAGUGUUUUGGAGCCAUCGCAGAACUUCUUAAGUAGUAAGUUAAUUUUUAAAUCCCUCCGAUCACUCGAUCAUGUCGAGGACGAAAGGUCCGAAUCGGCACGAGUGAUUGGUUGUAAUUAAUUAGUAGAAAAGCAUUGAGUGACCUCGAGUAAAUUUCCGAAGAAAUUCUACGGAAAUUUACUCGUGAAUAGUUCGUUAUUUUUUUUAUUUAUUUAUUAGAUCAGGAUAGAGUCUUCUUGUUUAAACGCGAUAAUUAUAAUUAUUUGAAAUGUUGUAUAUUUAAAUGCAUUUUUAAAUAAUUUUCUCUUGCGAAAAUAGUAAAGAAUCGCGAUCUUCGCGAAUUUUAAUAAUGAAUAAGCAAGAAGACAUUCGCGAUGGAUAGUCUCUGGAUUACAAGCGAAAUUGUAUAAUUUCUUUUCUAAUAAUUAGAAUAAUUGCUUGUAAGGAGUGUCCAAUGAUUUUUCAUUAGAUUUUUAUAUAAGGAUUAAUCAAUUUUAUUAAUAAAAGAAAAGUCUCAAUAGAGUCAUUGCUUUUGAAAGAAUAAAGUAGACUAAAGUCAUUGAUAAAAGGCAAAGAGACUUGUAGAAUAUAGAAUAAGUUAAUCAAUUUUUAGAUUAGGAUUUUCAGCAAUUAAUAUAUUAAUUCUCGUUUUUCUUUCUACGCUUUCUUCAUUUUUCGUUUCAGGAUUAAUUUAGAGUUGCGUUAGAUUUAUUAGUUUCCUUCCACGUUUUAGAAUAAAAGAUGGUUUUAGUUUCUUGAUAUUGACGUUAGUUCGAAAGUUCGACAGAACCCUUCGAAAAUGGCUCUUAAUUAUAUUUUAAUUUUACUAUGUAGUCACUCAUAAUGCUCUUAUGUAAUAAUAAUUUUAAUUUUAGAAACUUGGACGAAGUAACGCUUCAUCUCCGAUGCCACAUUGUCACGCGUACGGGAAUGAAAUUAUUACAUAUUUUAUUCAUUUUUAUUAUUAAAGCAAAGUAAUAAAUUUUUCAUAUUUUUCUUUUUUAAAGUUCAAUUAAAAUCGUAAUUUUAUUUUAAUAAAAUCAAGUACUAUAUUGAAAUAAUAGCUGCGAAACGUAUAAGAUAUGACAAUUGUGGAAACCACUGAAAGUGCACAUGGAGAUGAAACGAACAUACCGAAAUGUGUAUCAAGUACUGUCUGCAUUUCGUUACUGGAAGAGAAUAUUCGUUUAGAGUAGAAUCGAAGAUUUUACAUUUUCAUUUUCUUUUAUAAAUUUAAAUUGAAUUAAAUUCAGAAUUUUAUUUUUCAUAAAUAAUAUACACACAUUAAUAUACAUAAUUACAUAAAUACGUCAUUACAACUUACAUACACUAGUUUCUUUCCUCAUUUCUUUUCUUCUCUAUGAAAUCAAGUUAUUGAAUUACUCUACAUUUUUAUUAUAUAUACUUCUAUUUAUUCAAACACAUAUCUGUAUAAUAAUUGAAACAAUUAUUCGAGAUUAAUUAUUUUAACUUCUCUCGGGUGGGACCCUUGGGAGGGGCCCUUGGGUGUGGGCCUUAGGCGGGUUUCGUUCUCUCGCUAGGAAUAAAAUUAGACUCAUUUAUGGUACUCUGAUUUUUGUCUAGUGAAAUGGUCUUCGAAAUACUUAUUCAUUAUUCCGAAUUCUAUCUUUCUCUCAGACAUGUUCCGUGUUUCUUUUCUUCGUUUUUCCUUUUCUUUUGGUUUCCUCUUCUCUUUCGUUUCUUUUUCCUUUUCUCUUAUUCUUUUACUUUUUUUCUAUUUCAAGUUAGAUC